rnacentral:lncRNA from 1 species
UUUCUUGACUCCAAUGGCUCUAUUUUUGUCUCUAACGGCUAGAUUUUUGUUUUCACGCCAUCUAAAGCUAUAAAAUCAGGAGGAGAGCUAGGGGAGAAGGUAUGGAAGUGGGAGAGAAUAUUUAGGAAAGAGAUUUCAAAGAGAUUACAAGAAAAAUCUCCCAAAAGCACAAAAGGGUCAUUCAAAGUAAAAGAGAGAGAAGAAGAACAUCCAAGUGAAUCCCAAAGCUACCUCUCCAACUGUGUGCUGCCUCGGUGAUCCUCUACUUCAUGCAAAAUAAGAAGAGGGUCAAGUAAAGAAGAAGCCGAGUUCCUUCAUCUAUAAAUUUGUUUGAGGGCUUCUUCUCUUUACUUUACUUGUUUAUAUUUGCUAUAUUUGCUUAUUUGAGAAGCUUGUAUUUGAUUUAAAUUCUUGUUCUAAUAUCUUGUAACUUGAUUCAACAAGAAAUUGAAUCAAGGGGUUAAGGAUUGUUGGUGAGCCAAAGGAAAAACCAACGUUGUAAGGUUGUGGUUGGUGAGCCUUUGGGAAAACCAACCGGGUUGAUUGUGAACUCGGAAAACAAUCGUUGUAAGGUUGUGGUUGGU